AAAUAUUGUAAAUGGAGAUAAACUUGCUGAGAACAUAUCUAGAGUUGCAUCUUUUCUUGGGGAUGGAAAUGAACCUUUGCAUGGACUAGAAUAUCAGAGAUUGGAUGGCCAUGUCCAUAGAUUAUCAACAGAAAGUAUUGGGAGUGACUUAAGUUCUUUAAGGGUGGGUAAUUUGUUUGGUGAUGAUUGCCUUGACCUUAUGGAGGGUGCUGAAACUCACAAAAUAACUGAUGCUCCUGUAAGCUUAAAUUCACAGUUC
rnacentral:misc_RNA from 1 species